GAUGAAGAACGCAGCGAAAUGCGAUAAGUAAUGUGAGUUGCAGAAUUCAGUGAAUCAUCGAAUCUUUGAACGCACAAUGCGCCCCUUGGUAUUCCGGGGGGCAUGCCUGUUCGAGCGUCAUUAUAACCCCUCAAGCUCAGCUUGGUGUUGGGGCCUGCCGACUGGCAGCCCUUAAAAUCAGUGGCGGCGCCAUCUGGCUCUAAGCGUAGUAAUUUCUCUCGCUAUAGAGUCCCGGUGGAUGCUUGCCAGCAACCCCCAACUUUCUAUGGUUGACCUCGGAUCAGGUAGGGAUACCCGCUGAACUUAAGCAUAUCAAUAAGCGGAGGA
rnacentral:misc_RNA from 1 species